AAUUAUCAAAGUUUUAAGUACUUUUUGAGUGAAGAGAUCAUUUUAUUCUCUUUACGAGCCCGUAUAUUCCAUUAAAGAUAGAGAAGUGAAGGAAAACUAAAAAACAUUUAAAAAUUCCUACUGAUGUCCAUGUUAAUUAUUCCAUAAUUAGAUCCAUCAGUAGGGACUUUGCAAAAGUAUGGGUUUAACAGGAAUGAACAUGACUGUUAUUUGGGGUAUCUUGACUCGUAGGGGCCCUUAGAAAGCCAUUUCCCAGUUCAUGAGCUGCUAAUUC
rnacentral:lncRNA from 1 species